GAUGAACGCUGGCGGCGUGCCUAAUACAUGCAAGUCGAGCGAAGCGGGGACGGGUGAGUAACACGUGGAUAACCUCCUAUAAGACUGGGAUAACUUCGGGAAACCGGAGCUAAACCGGAUACUUAUAGAUGGAUCCGGGCUGCAUUAGCUAGUUGGUAAGGUAACGGCUUACCAAGUCAACGAUGCAUAGCCGGACUGAGAGGGUGAUAGGCCACACUGGAAAUGAGACACGGUCCAGACUCCUACGGGAGGCAGCAGUAGGGAAUAUUCCGCAAUGGGCGCAAGCCUGAUGCAGCCAUGCCGCGUGUAUGAAGAAGGCCUUAGGGUUGUAAAGUACUUUCAGCGGGGAGGCGUUACCCGCAGAAGAAGCACCGGCUAACUCCGUGCCAGCAGCCGCGGUAAUAC
rnacentral:rRNA from 1 species